rnacentral:lncRNA from 1 species
UCCUCCUCCUUGGGUUUGGCUUGCACUUUCUUCUCAGGUCUUUCUCCUCUGAGGCAGAAGAAGCCCCUGGGCCAAGACUGAGAAUUAUUAGUAUUAAUAUUAGUAAUAUUACAUCUUAGUAUCUAGGCAUUAU